rnacentral:piRNA from 1 species
UGAGGUGGCCUCCCUAUUAAUUGCAGG